rnacentral:rRNA from 1 species
AGUCGAGGGGCAGCAUGGUCUUAGCUUGCUAAGGCCGAUGGCGACCGGCGCACGGGUGAGUAACACGUAUCCAACCUGCCGUCUACUCUUGGACAGCCUUCUGAAAGGAAGAUUAAUACAAGAUGGCAUCAUGAGUCCGCAUGUUCACAUGAUUAAAGGUAUUCCGGUAGACGAUGGGGAUGCGUUCCAUUAGAUAGUAGGCGGGGUAACGGCCCACCUAGUCUUCGAUGGAUAGGGGUUCUGAGAGGAAGGUCCCCCACAUUGGAACUGAGACACGGUCCAAACUCCUACGGGAGGCAGCAGUGAGGAAUAUUGGUCAAUGGGCGAGAGCCUGAACCAGCCAAGUAGCGUGAAGGAUGACUGCCCUAUGGGUUGUAAACUUCUUUUAUAAAGGAAUAAAGUCGGGUAUGGAUACCCGUUUGCAUGUACUUUAUGAAUAAGGAUCGGCUAACUCCGUGCCAGCAGCCGCGGUAAUACGGAGGAUCCGAGCGUUAUCCGGAUUUAUUGGGUUUAAAGGGAGCGUAGAUGGAUGUUUAAGUCAGUUGUGAAAGUUUGCGGCUCAACCGUAAAAUUGCAGUUGAUACUGGAUAUCUUGAGUGCAGUUGAGGCAGGCGGAAUUCGUGGUGUAGCGGUGAAAUGCUUAGAUAUCACGAAGAACUCCGAUUGCGAAGGCAGCCUGCUAAGCUGCAACUGACAUUGAGGCUCGAAAGUGUGGGUAUCAAACAGGAUUAGAUACCCUGGUAGUCCACACGGUAAACGAUGAAUACUCGCUGUUUGCGAUAUACUGCAAGCGGCCAAGCGAAAGCGUUAAGUAUUCCACCUGGGGAGUACGCCGGCAACGGUGAAACUUCAAGGAAUUGACGGGGGCCCG